rnacentral:rRNA from 1 species
GACGAACGCUGGCGGCGUGCUUAACACAUGCAAGUCGAGCGGAAAGGCCCUUUCGGGGGUACUCGAGCGGCGAACGGGUGAGUAACACGUGAGUAAUAUGCCCUUGGCCUUGGGAUAACCACCGGAAACGGUGGCUAAUACCGGAUAUGACGCGCCCCGGCCUCGGGGUGUGUGGAAAGUUUUUUCGGCCAGGGAUGUGCUCGCGGCCUAUCAGUUUGUUGGUGGGGUAAUGGCCUACCAAGGCUUCGACGGGUAGCCGGCCUGAGAGGGUGACCGGACACACUGGGACUGGGACACGGCCCAGACUCCUACGGGGGGCAGCAGUGGGGAAUAUUGGACAAUGGGCGGAAGCCUGAUCCAGCAACGCCGCGUGAGGGAUGACGGCCUUCGGGUUGUAAACCUCUUUCAGUACCGACGAAGCGCCUAUGAUGGUGGUGACGGUAGGUACAGAAGAAGCACCGGCCAACUACGUGCCAGCAGCCGCCGUAA